rnacentral:rRNA from 1 species
CGGGACAGCCUCGGGAAACCGUGGGUAAUACCGGAUACUCCGGGACGGCCGCAUGGCCGGCCCGGGAAAGCCCAGACGGGAGGGGAUGGGCCCGCGGCCUGUUAGCUAGUCGGCGGGGUAACGGCCCACCGAGGCGAUUAUGGGUAGCCGGGUUGAGAGACCGACCGGCCAGAUUGGGACUGAGACACGGCCCAGACUCCUACGGGAGGCAGCAGUGGGGAAUCUUGCGCAAUGGGCGGAAGCCUGACGCAGCGACGCCGCGUGCGGGACGAAGGCCUUCGGGUCGUAAACCGCUUUCAGCAGGGACGAGGCCCUCACGGUGACGGUACCUGCAGAAGAAGCCCCGGCUAACUACGUGCCAGCAGCCGCGGUAAUACGUAGGGGGCGAGCGUUAUCCGGAUUCAUUGGGCGUAAAGCGCGCGUAGGCGGCCUGUUAGGUCGGGGGUCAAAUACCGGGGCUCAACCCCGGUCCGCCCCCGAUACCGGCAGGCUUGAGUCUGGUAGGGGAAGGCGGAAUUCCCAGUGUAGCGGUGGAAUGCGCAGAUAUUGGGAAGAACACCGGCGGCGAAGGCGGCCUUCUGGGCCACGACUGACGCUGAGGCGCGAAAGCUAGGGGAGCGAACAGGAUUAGAUACCCUGGUAGUCCUAGCCGUAAACGAUGGA